rnacentral:sRNA from 1 species
AUGUAAAUAAAAGUAUCAAAUAAAGGAAAAGACAAAAAAUGACACAAACAGAUCCAUCUACCUCAAAGUUCUUAGGAGGCCUUUGCAAUCCCAAGAAAAUGCAAAUCACAGUCUAAAUCCUUCCUUGUAGUCUUCUUAAUUUAAUUCAAUUAAUAAACACACAAAAAUUGUUUAUAUGGUUUAGAAGUCACAAUUCCAUGAACACACUCAGACAACUCCUUAUCUAUCCUUACCUUCUAAGCCUGUGCCCUGGACUCCUGUUGCUAAUCACAGUCCUUGUUUGCUGAGAGCCUCUGAGUACCUCAAUAGUAAAGCCUACAGUCUCUCGUUACUUUUAAGACACAUUUUUGGAAGUAUGCUGAGACCAGAAAACAUUUUAUUUAUCAUUAAAAUGGCAGUUUCUAUCAUGAGUUCUAUACGCACUGGAGCCCUUUAUAUGUUUUGUAGUUCGUUGAAUGGAAACAUGCAAGGACUACUAUCUCCGUGGGCAAAAGCAUACCCAUUUUAGUUGGCUGGAUUUUUCUUAAGUGUCUAUUAUACCCAAGACAUCGCAAAGCCUGUCUAGAAAGGGAUUUACAGAGAAAGCCUUUAAAAUUGUGCUUAGUAACAGUGGGCUUUGCUCUGUCAAGAGUGAGUCUGAACUUAGGAUGAGAUUUUAGAGAACCCAGACCUGCAUCCUUAGCAGUAGGAGUCAUUUGACUAUUAGGCAGCCCUAAGUAUUUUUGAACAUCAGAUAAUCUGUGAAGAGGCAUUCUAUAAUCCCAGACGCCAAAAAAGUUUCCCAGAAUUGUCUCUAGAUGGCUUCCAAUUUAAUUUAAUUAUUUUAAUUUAAUUCUCUUAAAACUGCUAUCAGAAAGAAGAUUGGGGCAAAGAAUAAGAUACUAAAAAAAGAAACUGAGAAGUAGAUGGAACGAAAUCAUCAAGGUCAAGUUCAAGGACUCUGGGACCUACUGUGAUCUCUUUCAGACGGUACUCACUGGCUUACUGGGUUUCCACCACUCGGCACCACUGAGGCCAGUCUUGGACUCCCCAAGGCUAACUAAAAUCUGUGUAAGAGCAAGAGUCUGGCGGAACAGACAUGGUUGAAGAAAAGAGCAAUAAGACUGGCCGAAACUGUCUGAUGACUGUUUGAAAGUCAACAUUUCCUUGGAUACCAUAGGAUGGUUAAUUCUGACAUCAGUAGAAAAUAAUGUGCUACUCCUGGAAAGCACCAACUCCUAUGGUGGAAAAUGGGGAAAUAACUAGCAACAUGAACGCUGUCUUCCUGACCAUCUUUAGGUGUAGGAGAAAUCAGAGUUGGAAAAUUAUAUGGGAUGGUGGAUACAAUCAUAACCAUUCUCUCUGUGUCUCUCUGUCUCAUCUCUCAUCUCUCUCCUCCUACCCCUCCUCUUCCUACCCACCUCCUCUCACCAUCCUUACAUCAUCUUUGUUACAAACUUCCAGCAAUAUUCUUCCCAUAAGAAGGGCAGUCAAAGUUAAAUAAGACAAGUCAACAAUUUGAAUAUAUGUCCACAAAAUUAUAUCUUUGUUGAGGUGCUGCUGCUAAUCUCUGUGCUGAUAAAAAGAAAACAAACCCAAGUCUAGAACAUUCCCAUCUUACUUUUGGAGGCAUCACCUGGGAGAACUUAUUAUAUAGAUUCUGGUUCAGGAUAUUUGGGAAGAGACAAGGACUGUCUAAUUAAAGCAAGCCGCCUGAUGAUACUGGCACUACUAAUGCCAAGACCACAUACAAUGACAAUAGCCAACAUGACCUCUGUGCUUCUUUCAAACAUUAUUCAAAGUCAAGUCAAUUGUUUGUCCAUAGCUAUCUGGUUUGAAUAAAGGUGUGCAUGUAUUGAAUACAAUAUGAAGCUAACAUUUUUAUGAAAUUGCGUCUUAAGGAAAAGGCAAUUUUUUAAAAUCAUUUUUCUGAUUAUAGCAAUGGCUUUUUCCAUGUAGACAGCCUAUAUUUGAAUAAGCAGAUUAUUAAAAAUAAACAAGGGGUGAGAUAAGAACUACAAAAUAAAGCAAUGUUCUGUUCAUGAAUAUUAAAAUAAAGACCCUCCCAGAAGAGAAACCAUUAUUUCUUCUGGAGGUCACAUACAUAUUGGGAUAUAUUUUGCUAGAUUUUUUACAUCAUUCACUGAACUUUACUUCCCUUGAUUAUGAUUUCAUGCCUUCAUCUUGGGGGCAGCCUUCAUUUACAAGGUCGACAAGGCCACUCGGUUCCAACUACCGACAUAGUACUUAAGCAACAACAGCAGCAAAAACCUUAAAAUCAGCUAUUUAAAGAAAAGUCAAAGCGCCCACCCUUCUUUUUUAUAAAACAGAAUUGUCCUGACAGGGCUUUCCUGUUUUCUUGAGUCAAUAGUCUCAAAUGGCUUAAAAAUAGAUGAUGGUUUUACAUUUAUCAUUUGAACAAACAUGGGAAAUACAAAAACAAUCCUCAUGGAAUUCCCGGUGUAACUUUCCCAUCCCUGCAGUUGGUACCACAGUUCUUUGGGAAUUGCAGAUUCCAUAAAUGAACACAUCAGUAACAUCUUGGCAUCUCGCCUCCUAAGGCACGGUGUCAUUUGAGGGCAAUCUCACUUGGAGGGCACACUCGUGAUUUCAGAAACUCUGCUAGAAAGCCUGGGGAUGCUGGGAGCUCAAUAACCUUUCUCUUCUGGGAGUACGGAAUGAGCUUAAGACACCACUAGAAUUUCAUUCUAUAUUCAAACCAUUUUUUCCUGCUCUCUGCUAUGCUCUAGGUAGAGCUAGGCUGCUAGGGGUUAAGGGAUAAACCAGUUUCCAGAAAAGAAGGUAUGGAGAACAACAUUUGUUAGUUACUUGUCUUUUUGGUUCAACAAAAUACCUGAUAAAAAUCAUGAGGAGAAAAAGAUAUAGUCUAUCAUGGUGGGAAAUUCAUAGUUGCAGAGGGGAGGGAUAGACCCUGUUCAUCUCCACCCAUGAAGAGAGAGCAAGGAAUGCCUGUGUUGAGCUCACUUUUUCCUCUGUACUCAGACGGAGUCUUUAACCCAUGAGCUCUUGCCACCCAGAGUUAAGGAGGGCUGUUCUAUCUUAACCAACAUACUCUGCACAAUCCUUCACAAGUAUGUUCAGAAAUCUUUGUAUGGUGAUUCUAAAUCCCAUCAAGUUUACAAUCUAGAUUUAACCAAGGCAUCAGUGAAUUACACAAUUUGGAGGUGUGUGCCAUAAUUUCAGGUAAAUGACUAAUUACCUUCAGGACAUUGGGGCAAUCUAUACAGUCUGACAAGCAACCCUAAGUUAUCCUAUAUGUAAGCAGAAGACUGAACUGGGUUCCUCAGGGCUGCUCUGGUGUUGACCCUCAAAAACGAAAAGCACUAAUUGCAUGAUGAUUUCGUGGUACUCCAUAGAGGGUGUCACUGUGUGAGCACAGAGGCUGCAGGAUGUGUACCAAAGGCUCCAUGGAGAAAAACUGGGAUGCGAAGUUAGAGAAAGGAAGUUCUCACUUCACACUUACUUAGGGACCAUUCCUUCAUUAGCCAGCAUCAUCUGAAGACUCUAAGCCUCUGGCAGUCCCCAUACUCAGCACCUGACAGGUGAGAAAGAGACUCUUGUGCCAUUGUGCAAUUUAGAGUCUCCUGGGAGAGAUAGGUAACAAAUAAGUAAAAAUGAAAAACACAAGAUAAUUGCAGAUUGUUAUAAGUGACAUCGAGGAAAUAAACAAGGGAUGAAGUCUCCAAGCAGCUUUUCCAGGAGGAGAAAAGAAGCUGACUUUAGAAGGACCUGACAAGGAGGAAAACACAUGAGACCUGGAGUCCCCCUUUUCUCCAGGAUUGAGGAGUCUACUGAGAAGGAAUGGCAUCCCCAAAGUAAUGUUUGGACCUGACUAAGUGGACUCAUUGAAUUCCUAUUGAGUAGCAGCCACAGAGCAUGGGGUGAGAAGUCGCUGGAAGGACAAGUUGACAGAUAGGACUUGGGUCGCUGGGUCACCGCGAGGCGUCGUGAUCUGGACUCAGACAGAGCGAUUUCCUCGGUGAUUUUAAUCUUUUCGUCUGUUCACACGUCAUGCCACCUGGACAUAAUGCAGAGAAGUCUGGAAGCCUAACAGAGUUUUCCCCUUGCCCCAAUGCUCACCCAGGGAACAGGGAGGAAGAGAGGGAAGGAGAGUUAACCCUUUCCCAGCCUUCCUCAGCCACAGCAGCAAACCUGGCCCACAUCAUUGACAAUUAACAAUUUCAGAUCUCUGAAAACAAGAGCCAUGUCUUUAUGAACCCUGUCAAUAAUACAAGAUGCUUCGCUACUGCCAUACACACAUGAAAGUGACUGCUCAUCCCCUUUGACCUGCCUUCUGCAGUGGUUUUGACUGACUUUUGAGUCAUAGACAUCACAAAAAAAUUGGGGGGCUUUUGGAGAGAAGUGCAGAGAGCAAUAGAAGGGAUACUGAGGAAGAGAGCUACUAUUAAUAUCUUCCCCAUCACUGUGGCCAGACAGUUUACUUGCCUGAUUUCCUCAUAAGCUAUUCUGAGCUAUUUUUUUUUUUUUUUUUUGCUAAUGGUUAGAAUUAGCAGAUUUCAGUAAAGUGGAUGCCAACAUUCUAGAAAAAUGGCUCCUCAGAAUCUGCUGGAGGUAUGAGAGACCCUCAGAGAGGAAGGUGGGGUGGGGAGAGGCUACAGAAGAGAGCGCUCCUCCGGGUCUCACCUGGGGAUAGGAGAUAAGAAGAGAAAGGCAUCUGUGAAGAAGCCUGGAGUCGCCAUUUGGCGGAAAAUGCUUGGAACUGGGACCAGUAAGUGAAAUGAGCCAGACAUGGAAAGAGAAUCUCGAUUUCCUCUCAUGGGCAGAAUCUAGGUUGAAUUUUACAAAUCCUUGUUUCUAUAUCUACCUACACGUGUGUGUGUGUGGAGAAUCAAAUGGAGGAGCGGAGAGCAGAAGACUGAAAGGAUACGCUUAACAGGGAAGCAAAAGGUGGGGCUUAUUUGAAAGAGGAAGGAGACUGACGCAGCCACCUUUAAUCGCUGCGGGAACUUGAAAGUGCAGCUCAAGUCCUGGGGCUGAACAUCUGCAUUGCAGUGAGUCCUAUCUGAGGACAGGUGAAUGUCCCUCUCUUGGCAUCAAUGAUAGCUUGGGACGAGAUGCAUGAAUGAAGUGACCUAGCUAAAAGCUACUCAGAAAUGAACUAAGCAAAGGCAGAUCUGCAAGUCUUUCCAGGCCAUGAAUUUGAGGACACUUUAGCCCGGUGUUUCUUACCCUUCCUAAUGCUGAGACCCAUUAGUCGAGUUCCUCUUUUUCAUAAUGUGGUGGCCUCCAACAAUACAAUUAUUUUCAUUGAUACUUUAUAACUGGAAGUUUGCUACCAUUAGUAAUCUUUUUUUCCUUCUUCUUGAUAUAGAGGUUUGUCAAAGAGGUUGCAACUUACAGGUUAAAAAACCAAUGCUUUAGCUCUUCAGGCAGACAUGACUCAUGAAAACACUUCUCUGAUGAGUUUGGCCAAGUGGCAUCAGCUCAAAGGAAAGCAGUCAGCUACAUCUGCAAGGAGCUUUCCAGAAAGAGGGAAAACUACAAUUAGUUCCUCGGUCAUAUGACUCCAGCUUGCACAGGUGGUAGCCCUAGGUCUUGGCCAAAUUCCAGUUUGGAUAAUUCCAUCCCUCUUCUCAUUAUUCUGGCUUCAGCUCCACUGGGAGGGACGAUUGCCUUUCUUUCCUGUCCUAACGUUUGGGAGCUGCCAUAGCCAGGAGAGAGACUACAUUGUGCAUUUUUUCCCCUGGUCUCUAAUGAGACUAUUUUUCUUCUUAGACCAACUUCCAGAUAGCUUAUUUUUAGAAUCUAGCCCCUAGACCUUUCCCAACUAGCCAGGUAAAUUAGUGAAUCAUAAACCACAGUAAUUGUGGGACUGCUCUGUAGAGACUACAAAGGCAGAGAGGGAAUUGCUGGCAUUCCAGGCUGACCACAGAGAAUUCUAAAGUAGACAGGCCACAAUGGAGAGUGGAAACUCAGGAAUAUCUCCCCACCUAAUAGUAUGUUAUGUGUAAAAGUAAAAUGCUGUGUAAACAAACAUAUUGUUUGUAAGUCAACGAUUUUAAUCCCUAGUAAUUGAAACCUUCAAUUUUAAAAGCUAAGAAUGAGUAGAUGUAACUUGGAGAGAUUGAGUCUAUAGAACAAGCUGAGGAGCUCUGUGUUUCUGUCUCUGGUUGUUUCCUUUUCUGGCUUUGCAAACUUUCAUUACAAAACCAUGGUUUCUUUGCUUCCCCAACAGGCUUCUCCACUGUCUCUUAGGACAAAGUUUGUCAGUCUGUCAUCUCGCUUCAAUAGAAGCUGAGUAUUAAAAUCCAAACAUCAGAGACCUAAGGAGAUAGCUUUCUGGGUAAAGGGUUUAUCUUUUUAGCAUCACCUGCUAGAUCCCCUGAACCCACAUCAGAAAGCUAGGUGGUCAUUUGUUUCUAUUCCCAGACUUGGGGAGGCAGCUACAGGCUAAGCCACAUGGCUCUUUGUCCAGGUAUCCUGGCCUACUUGGCAAGUUCUAGGCCAAAGAGAGACUUGUCUCUAAAAAUAAGCAAGAUGGCUCCUGAGGAGUAGCACCCACUGCUGUCACCUGCUGGCAUCACGGGGAUUGGAGAAUGUGUGCACAUGAUCUCUCACACACUAGAUGUGAUUCUUCCCCAUAGUAGUAAAGAAAACCUAGAGAGACAAGUUUGUUUAUUAUACAUUCAUGGUAUAGUAACAAACCAGAGGUUACUUGUUUAAAAUCUAAAACUUUUGAUACCAUUUAAAUUUAAAACAUAGGAAAACAUUAAAUAUUAAAUAAGACAGUGGAUCAAUUUUAGGAUACCACUAUCUUGAACACUAGAGUCACCACCUCCAUUUAAUUCUUUUCUGCAACUGAGACUCUUCCUACCCCAAACUUGGUUGAAGAGGCAACCAGUGCCCAAUUGAGAAACUCCGACAUCUAAAAAUGAAAUUAGUUAUGAUGAGAACUGUUUAAGAAACAGCAGCAUAUAACAGCUCUUUAAGAAUGCUAGGCUUCGAUAUUUUGGAAUUAGAAACUUGCUCUGUCUUCUAAAGCUUGAAGAGCUUGGAAGAACAAUAAUAGGUGAGGCUUAGGUCUCUGAUCUGUGGCGGGGGAAACAACAACUGUUCAUGGGAAGGGGAUUAAAUCAGGGUCCAUGGCUAUAAGGAGGACAUAGUCAAAGUUCGAAUAACAACAAAGUAUUCAGGUCGCUCCAGUGAGGGCCUUCCUUGUCUGCCUAAGUCUUUGAUGACCUCCCAGUCCAGUCCAGAGGGCUUCAUUGCUUUUCCUGUAGGAACCAACUUUCUUUGCUAUCCAUUUGGCAAACUCAAGGAUCCCAAAACUGCAAAGGUUGGCCAAGUAACAAGUGCAUUUCUUUGAAGGUAACAGUAGGACUGUUAAUCCUGGUGGCCUCCUGACUGAAAGAGUAGAUUAAACAAGAAUAAAAGGCAUGUAGUUGUUGAAUGUCUGAAUUCAUUACAGAUUUUGGGUUCUCAAAGAUGUUUGUGUCCUAAAUGAAUGACAGGUGAGCAACCCUUUUGACCCAUAUUGCCCACAAAGGGAAAAUUUUGAGUGACAGCUCUGUAUUCAUAAUUCAACUUUUAGUAGAGUCUACAAAGGACUUCCCGUUUGAGCAGGUAGAGACUUCAUUCCAACAUAAAGACACAAUUGGAAGUGACAGAACUUAACCAUGUGACAGUGCAGGAUUAGGAAUGGGGUCAAAUAAAGAGGCAAUGUCUAGCUGAGAAAGGGCCACUAGGGCUCUUAUGUCAGCUCUUUGCCUCAAUUACCUGAAUCCUCAACUUGUUCAUUCACAAUAAAAAUAAAUAUUUGUUUUGCGAACUUUGGUCAUUUACCUAGAAAAUAAGACCUUCAGAGUUUGUUG